AUUUUUCAAAGAUAACAUCGCAUAUCCUGCAUAAUCAAAAGGAUAGAGGGGAGGGUGUUUUAUUCCUCCAUAAGCUUUUUUUUUAAGUGGCACACACUAAUAAAGACCGAGGACAGAAUUCGUGAAACAGAUAAUGCAGGAUACAAAUAAAGGAAAUUACAAAGACUAGAAAGAAUUGUCCUACGAUAGAGAAGAAUGCGAAGAGCUGCAAUAAAUAUAUGGAUUUAUAACUAAAAAAAAAAAGAAAGAAAAGGUGGUUACAUGUAGAUACGAAGUAGCAAGAUAAAUUGCGGAAAUAAAGAAAAGUGAGAAUUGUAU